rnacentral:rRNA from 18 species
AUGGGUGACGGCGUGCCUUUUGCAUAAUGAUCCGGCGAGUUACCGUCUGCGGCAGGUUAAGGCCUUACGGGCUGUAGCCAGAGGGAAACCGAGUCUUAAUAGGGCGUUAGUCGUAGGUGGUAGACGCGAAACCAGGUGAUCUACCCAUGAGCAGGUUGAAGCGCGGGUUAUACCGCGUGGAGGACCGAACCCACUUGGGUUGAAAA